GCCAGGUACGGUGGUGGGUACCUGUAAUCCCAGCUACUCAGGAGGCUGAGGCAGGAGAAUCACUUGAGCCCAGGAAGCAGAGGUUGUAGUGAGCAGAGAUUGCACCACUGCACUCCUGCCUGGGCAACAGAGUGAGACUCCGUCUCAA
rnacentral:SRP_RNA from 1 species